rnacentral:rRNA from 1 species
AUCGAUGAAGAACGCAGCGAAAUGCGAUAAGUAGUGUGAAUUGCAGAAUUCAGUGAAUCAUCGAAUCUUUGAACGCACAUUGCGCCCUUUGGUAUUCCAAAGGGCAUGCCUGUUCGAGCGUCAUUUGUACCCUCAAGCUUUGCUUGGUGU